rnacentral:rRNA from 1 species
UACGAAGGGGGGCUAGCGUUGUUCGGAAUCACUGGGCGUAAAGCGCACGUAGGCGGAUCUUUAAGUCAGGGGUGAAAUCCCGAGGCUCAACCUCGGAACUGCCUUUGAUACUGGGGAUCUCGAGUCCGGGAGAGGUGAGUGGAACUGCGAGUGUAGAGGUGAAAUUCGUAGAUAUUCGCAAGAACACCAGUGGCGAAGGCGGCUCACUGGCCCGGAACUCGACGCUGAGGUGCGAAAGCGUGGGGAGCAAACAGGG